rnacentral:tRNA from 1 species
GCAGGAGUAGCUUAAUGGCCAGAGCGCGCGGUUUGGGACCGUGUAGGUAUUCGUUCGAAUCGGAUCUCUUGCA